rnacentral:rRNA from 1 species
AUUGAACGCUGGCGGCAGGCCUAACACAUGCAAGUCGAACGAGUGGCGGACGGGUGAGUAAUGUCUGGGAAACUGCCUGAUGGAGGGGGAUAACUACUGGUAACGGUAGCUAAUACCGCAUCCCAUCAGAUGUGCCCAGGUGGGAUUAGCUAGUUGGUGGGGUAAAGGCUCACCAAGGCCACGAUCCCUAGCUGUUCUGAGAGGAUGACCAGCCACACUGGAACGUAGACACGAUCCAGACUCAUACGGGAGGCAGCAGUGGGGAAUAUUGCACAAUGGGCGCAAGCCUGAUGCAGCCAUGCCGCGUGUAUGAAGAAGGCCUUCGGGUUGUAAAGUACUUUCAGCGGGGAGGCGUUACCCGCAGAAGAAGCACCGGCUAACUCCGUGCCAGCCGCCGAGGUAAUAC